rnacentral:rRNA from 1 species
UUGACCUCGGAUCAGGUAGGAAUACCCCGCUGGAAACUUUAAGCAUUAUCAAUUA